CCGAUGGGGCGAGCGAACACCCCGUGAGGCGUAAGCUGAAGUUUCGCGUCCUUGAAACCCAAUUGAACGGGAGGACGCGCCAUG
rfam:Labrenzia alba strain CECT 5096 genome assembly, contig: 0001